rnacentral:rRNA from 1 species
GACGAACGCUGGCGGCGUGCUUAACACAUGCAAGUCGAACGGAAAGGCCCUGCUUUUGUGGGGUGCUCGAGUGGCGAACGGGUGAGUAACACGUGAGUAACCUGCCCUUGACUUUGGGAUAACUUCAGGAAACUGGGGCUAAUACCGGAUAGGAGCUCCUGCUGCAUGGUGGGGGUUGGAAAGUUUCGGCGGUUGGGGAUGGACUCGCGGCUUAUCAGCUUGUUGGUGGGGUAGUGGCUUACCAAGGCUUUGACGGGUAGCCGGCCUGAGAGGGUGACCGGGCACAUAGGGGGUGAGAUAGAGCCCAGACUGCGACGGGAGGCAGCAGUGGGGAAGAGUGGACAAUGGGCGGACGCGUGAUGCAGCAACUCCGCGUGAGGGAAGACGGCCUUGGGGUUGUAAACCGCUUUCGCCUGGGACGAAGCGUGAGUGACGGUAAUGGGUAAAGAAGAACCGGCUAGCUACGUG